CUGGCGCAUGGUGCGCCGUUUCGGGCGCGUUCGCAAUGCGCUGGACGGCUGUCAGUCAGGCGGCCGGUGCGGCCCGCUCCGCCAGAC
rnacentral:tRNA from 1 species